rnacentral:tmRNA from 1 species
CCCCUUGCAUCCGCCCGCGCUGCACCCUAAAUCUGCACUGUCCCGCAAGGGACUAUGGACAUAAACGCGCUCGUAAUAAGCGGAUCGGACCCGGGGGCGGUACCCGGCGGCUCCACCAAUCAUCCUUCAUUUGGGGAUCAUGGGGCCGAAACAGGAUCGACGAACGUCUAAAGGGGUUAUGCUUUGUCUCGGUGAGCCACCACCGUUAUCGGUGCAAAACGUACAGUUGCAAAUGACAACCGUGCUCCGGUAGCAGUUGCUGCGUAAGCAGUAACCAAACCGAAACUUAAGCCCUUGCGCUUAGCCGCGUAAGGCGGGGUUCGCAGGCACCUGGCAACAGAAGCCUGCACU